AAGUUUAUCUUGACUGGGUUAAUGCCAUGCAUUUGACUAGUUAGCAAAUCCAAUUUUUAUUAAGCCUAAGUAAAUCAGAAAAUAAACUAGUUUUAUGGUACACACAGUUCCUUUUGGCUACGGGCCCUAGCUUACAAACACUGUUUGCCAAAGGAAGCCAAGAAGGCAUGGUACUACCACAAAUCCAGCUGGAUCUCAGAUUGCCCUCAACUGUGGGCUGGUGAUGGCCCUUGCAGGUGGAAGCCUCAUGCCCAGUAAGGACCAACAAGAAGCAGGAAGGACGGACUGGAGGAUGUGAUAGGGCAAGUCAACAGGUCUGAAGAAUGGAGCAGGAUAACAGCAUUGUGAUGAUUGAAUUCUACUCCCAGAUUCACGUAGCUGAAGUUUGAUCCAUCUUCAGUCUUCCUAGAAUUCAUCUUCCGGAUGACCAGAUACAGACACCAAUUCUUCCUUCCACAAAUUGUCUCUUGUGAAUGGAAAAGCACAUGGGUGAACUCAGUGCUGGCAUUAAAGAACAGAAGCCUUCCCUAUCCAUAUCCGCUGCUGCAAACAGUACUUUUGAAAACAGGAAAGUGCAAGAUCGACCCUACUCUAUUAAGCCCCUUGAAAGAAGUAGCAGACUAUUUCCAUAUCCAUCUGAAGUAUCAUCAUAGAAUCAUAGAACAGCCUGGGUUGAAAAGGACCUCAAAGAUCAUCUAGUUUCAACUCCCCUGCUGAGUGCAGGGUCGCCAACCACUAGACCAGGCUUCCCAGAGCGAUGUCCAGCCUGGCCUUGAAUGCCUCCAGGGACAGGGCAUCCAAGUACUUGCACAGAUGUCUCUAACACAGUAUUUGAAGAAGUAAAUACAUAAGAAAAGCAGCAGAAAAGAGCGGACUCACAGCACAUCCUCGGAUUGGCCAGCUGUCCUUGCUGAUGGAAGGGAACUAAACACACUGUGGGGUUUGAGAGGUGCUGUAAACCUGUGCUUCACUGUACUCUCACAGCUACGGAAGUGCUCUGAUUGUACCACUGUGGCUUCUCUAUUGGACCAGAAAGUCCUCUCUCACCGUUUCUCAGUCAGGGAACUUAUACUAAGCUCCUCAAAUGCUUUCAAAGUCUGACGGCUAAACUGAUCACUACUUUGGGUACUGACUUCACCUUUCAUGUGCUGUUAUUGUGG
rnacentral:lncRNA from 1 species